rnacentral:rRNA from 1 species
GACGAACGCUGGCGGCGUGCCUAAUACAUGCAAGUUGUGCGCUGAAGGUUGGUACUUGUACCAACUGGAUGAGCAGCGAACGGGUGAGUAACGCGUGGGGAAUCUGCCUUUGAGCGGGGGACAACAUUUGGAAACGAAUGCUAAUACCGCAUAAAAACUUUAAACACAAGUUUUAAGUUUGAAAGAUGCAAUUGCAUCACUCAAAGAUGAUCCCGCGUUGUAUUAGCUAGUUGGUGAGGUAAAGGCUCACCAAGGCGAUGAUACAUAGCCGACCUGAGAGGGUGAUCGGCCACAUUGGGACUGAGACACGGCCCAAACUCCUACGGGAGGCAGCAGUAGGGAAUCUUCGGCAAUGGACGAAAGUCUGACCGAGCAACGCCGCGUGAGUGAAGAAGGUUUUCGGAUCGUAAAACUCUGUUGGUAGAGAAGAACGUUGGUGAGAGUGGAAAGCUCAUCAAGUGACGGUAACUACACAGAAAGGGACGGCUAACUACGUG